UUAAAAUGAUGAUCAACCAUGCUAAUAUUGAGAAAACUUUAGGUUUUCGCUGAGUAAAACAAUACUUCUCAUUUAAACUGAUUGAA
rnacentral:snoRNA from 1 species